rnacentral:rRNA from 1 species
UGGGGAAUUUUGCACAAUGGGGGAAACCCUGAUGCAGCGACGCCGCGUGAUUUAGAAGGCCUCCGGGUUGUAAAAAUCUUUUGUAUGGGAAGAAAAUGACAGUACCAUACGAAUAAGGACCGGCCAAUUACGUGCCAGCAGCCGCGGUAAUACGUAAGGUCCGAGCGUUGUUCGGAAUCAUUGGGCGUAAAGGGUACGUAGGCGGAUAAGCAAGUUAGAAGUGAAAUCCUAUAGCUCAACUAUAGUAAGCUUUUAAAACUGCUCAUCUGGAGGUAUGGAAGGGAAAGUGGAAUUCCUAGUGUAGCAGUGAAAUGCGCAGAUAUUAGGAGGAAUACCGGUAGCGAAGGCGACUUUCUGGACUAUUUCUGACGCUGAAGUACGAAAACGUGGGGAGCAAACAGG